CCAGUAUUUCUCAACGUUUGCAAGGGCAGUAAUUUAAUGUGAAACGAAGAUACCACUAUUGUAGCGUUUAUAAAAUAGCCAGCUAAAAAGUGUAUUGUGCAACUCUAGACGGACAAAAUGAGGCAAUGGAGAGGCAUUGGGGAGUCUUUUAAUGGUGGUUGCCCCCUCUCUUUUCGCCGUUGAUUUCCUUUUCCAAACAAUUAAACCACCAUUGUUGACAAAAUGCAUAUAUUGCCCCCCUUAAACUUGGGAAAAUAGUUACUUUUUUUAAGCUAAUCCAAACAGGCUCUUAUUAUAAUCACCGGAUAUAUGAGGCUAUGAUGAUGAUAAAUGUUGUUCGUCUAGAUUCGGGUCGGGUAAUCGGAGCAGCCCGUAUCUUGGCGGGGCGACCCGGUAAGGGGUCUGCAGCCAUGGCGGUUGCUUUGUCUCCUUUUUGCCCUUCAUAUUAUUACAAAUCUGAGCCUCAAAUUGUAAGUAAUUACUGGCUAAUUGGCAAGUCCAUUUGUUAAAUUAGCUCACAAAUGGAGAGAGUAUGGGAUUUCCUUGGCAAAAUUAUAAAUUUACGCUCUAUGUCUAUGGGGAGAAAAUAUUUACGCUCCGUAGCCCAUAUUGUAUAUUGGGCUAUGUUACGUAAUAUUUUAUGUCGGGCUGUAUAUUUUUUGAAAAUUGUCCUUAGGGAAAAUUACGCUCUAUGUCUACUGGAGAGAAUAUUUACCUGAUUUAGCCCAGAUUUUCCUUAAACACCUGUUGUACAUUAUUAUACACUUUUAUACAAGGUGACACAUUGUUUACAUGUUUGUAUAAUGUUGUAUACCGUGUGUAUAAAUAAACACUGUUGAAAAAAAAGAAGUUGAUUAUGUGAAUGUAAACUGAAACUAUGACUAUGUAGGUGUAAUAUAUUAAGUUGGGUUGGAUAAUUUUUUGAAAAUCCCUUUCUUUUAAGGGUGGUUUCCCUUCUCUCUGCUUUGCCGUUGAUUCUCAUUUUUUUUUUUUUAACAAACCAACACCCCCUUUUUUUUUUUUUAAAAAAAAAAAGAGAGAGAGAGACAGAGAUAUAUUGUUCAUCAAUUUCUGUUUGGACUUUGGAUGGUCGUUACCCAUGGUUUCAUAAUGUACAAUAGCGUAUUGUAUAGUAUUGCUUGUAUUGUAUUUUACUGUAUUAAUGGAUACAAUGUUUGGAUAGACUGUGUCGUCUGUUGUGGUUUAAUAACAUUUUUUAUGUUCAAAAUGCAACACACACAACUAUACUACAACAACUACCUACUUGACUUUGAAAAUUAUUAAAGAGGCAGUGAUGAUGAUUUUUUUUUUUUCUAUUUCUGGGCUAACUAAUUCGGGCAUGGAGAUUACCCAACCCGUAUCUUGGCAUGGCAACCCGGUAUGGUGUGUGAUUGCGACGCAUAUCUCUCACACAUGCAUUCGGUGUUUUGCAGCCAUGGCGUGGCUGGCUUCUCUUUUGCCUUAUCAUAACACAUAUCUGAGCCUCAAUUUGCUAAAGAAAAUAGGGAAAAGGGUCAAAUUUAUCACUGAUCUGAGCCUCCAAUUGUAAGUAAGUACUGGCGAAUUGGAAAUUCCCUUUGUUAGGUUAGCCCAGAAAUGGCGAGAAUGAGGCAGCAGAGAGAGUAAGGGAUUUCUUUCAAUGGCGGUUGCCCUUCUCUCUGCUUUGCCUAUGAUUGUCCAUAUUUUUUUUUUUUUUUGUUUUUACAAACUAACAGCCCUUAAAAAAAGAAAGAGAAAGAGAGAUAAAUAGUACUCCCUCCAGUUCAUAAAAAGUGUCUACUUACUCCUUUGGGCGUUGAAAAUUAUAAAGAGGCAGUGAUGAUGAUUUUUUUCCUAUUUCUGGGCUAACUAAUUCAGGCAUGGAGAUGACCCAACCCGUAUCUUGGCAUGGCAACCCGGUAUGGCCUGCGAUUGAGACGUAUAUCUCACACAUGCAAUCGGUGUUCUGCAGCCAUGGCGAUGUUGGCUUCGCUUUUGCCUUAUCAUAACACAUAUCUGAGCCUCAAUAUUAUGCUAAAGAAAAUAGGGAAAAGGGUCAAAUUUAUCACAUGUCUGAGCCUCAAAUUGUAAGUAAUUACUGGCGAAUUAGCAAUUCGCUUUGUUAGAUUAGCCCAGAAAUGGCGAGAAUGAGGCAGUAAAGAGUAUGGGAUUUCUUUUAAGGGUGGUUGCCCUUCUUAAUGCUUUGCCAAUGAUUCUCCAUUUAUUUUAACGAACCAACAGCCCUUAAAAAAAGAAAGAGAAAAAGAGAGAUAUAUAGUACUUCAGUUUCUGGGUUUCGUUGCCUUUUUUUUUUUUCUUCACCCUUAGGGGCCGUUUGGUAGGGUGUUCAACAAUACUACUGAAUAGGUAGUAUUAGUAAGGGUUAAUAGGACUUUUUUUUUUUAGAAGAAAAAAAAAGAAGAAAAAAAAAGAAGGGUUAAUAGCACUUUUGGUCCCUCAGUUAUUGAUAAGAUUAUGAUUUUAGUCCUUGCGAUAUUGGACUAAGCACAUUAAACUUUCAAUUAAUCUAAGGGUACGUCCCUCAUAUUUUUUCAAAUUUUGCUUUUAUGCUAGCUACCAUUUUCCUAUUUUCCUAGAAUUAUGAAUAUGUGCUGGAGGAUAUUAGUUUUCUCAGUUCUAAACCAAACAAAUGGACUCCAAUUUUCUGUCUUAAAUUCUUGCCAACCCUACUUUGCUGCUAACUUCUUCGUUUCCAUCUCAUUUGCCUGUGAAAUCCUCACUUCUUUGUGAUUAUACAAAACUAAUAUUAGCUCUUUUAUGCUUCGCAUGUGAUAAUAGCUGGAUGUUUUGUGAUGGUAUACUAGUUAGUGUUACAUAAUGUUAUCGACUUCCCGAGCAUUUUAACUGACUAAUUACCAAAAAAGAUAAGACUUGCUUGAGUCGUGUAAUGGGAGGUCACUGUUGACUGAAGGGGUCUGUAUAAUAGCUUAAAAAGGAGAGAAUGAGGUAACAGGCAGAAGGAGAGAAUUAGGUAAAUAUCUGUCUGUUAAAACAAAAAUAUAUAAUUUGAAAUAAUAACAAAUAAUCGAAUUAUAUAUAAAAAGGUAUAAGAUACGAAAUAACCUUAUGAAAAAGGGUAUGAUAAGAAAAAAAUAAUUCUAGAAAACGUAAUGAACUAACUUAGUUAUCUUAAUUGACAUCUGAGGUGUUUUGCCUUUAUAUCUCACCCUUUCAUCUUGUUUGAUCCUCUUUCUUGUUUUUGUUUCUUGUGUUGAUGUAUGCUCUGGCCUUAUUUCUACAUUAUAAACAGAAACUGGAAUCCUAAACUCAAGAACAAGAAUGAGGCUGCAUAGGGAUGGCAAGUUUUCUCCGUCAUUUAGGUUCCGGACUCGACAAGUAACCUGCGAAAGAGAGCAUUCUGCAACUCUGGACAGAAAUAAUGAGGCAACUUAGAGGCAUUGGGGAGUCUGUAAUGGUGGUUGCCCCCUCUCUGUUCCUUUUGCCGAUGAUUUUCUUUCCCAUUUUCACACCAAAAAAAAAACAAAACAAUAAACCACCAUUGUUGAAAAUGUCAAAUACAUAUAUUGCCCCUUAAACUACUUCUGUUUCUUCACUUAUUGUUGACCUCUCCAUCUUCACUAUGGCUAGCUUUUAAUCACGGAUAUGAGGUUGUGAUGAUAAAUGGUGUUGUCUAGAGUUCGGUCGGGCAUCGGAGCUGCCUGUAUCUUGGCGGGGUGACCUGGUAAGGCAUCUCCGCUUUUUGCAACCGAGGUCCGCAGCCGUGGCGGUUGCUUUGUCUCCUUUGCCUGAUUUUAUCACAGAUAUAAGCCUCAAAUUGUUAGUGGAAAAGGGAAAGUGUUCCAUUAUGAUGCAUUCUACUACAAAAAGGGGCUAUGAUGAUGCUUAUAAAUCUUUCUGUUUCUGGGAUGAUCAUUACAUUGAGAUGCCCUGACCCGUAUCUUGGCAUGGCACAAUCUGUUAUGGCCUGUGAUUGGAAACUCCUCUCUCAUGCAACCGGUGUUUUGCAGCCAUAGCGUAUCUGGUUUCUCUUUUGCCUUAUGGCCCUUAUUAUACGCAUCUGAGCCUCAAUUUGCUGAAGAGCAUCAGUUGGCGUUUGGACAAUAGUUGAAUUGAAGCUGAGAAAUUCUUUUAAAUGCAAACUUGUGAAGCAGCAGAGAAUAUGGGAUCUGCGAAUUCCAUUUAUUAGGUUGGCCCAGAAUGGCGAGAAUGAGGUAGCAGAGAAUAUGGGAUUUCUUUCAAGGGUGGUUGUCCCGUUCUCUGCUUUUCCUAUGAUUCUCCAUUUUUUUUACAAACCAACAGCCCUUAAAAAAGAAAGAGACAGACAGAAGAUAUUUCAGUUUCUGGGGUUUUUUGCGCCCUGCAAGACGCUAACCAGCUAACAAACGACCCCUAAAUGUAUACUCAAAACCCCCGUACACACAACUGUACUACAAGAACUACGUGACCUUCAGAUCUUCAACUCCGUGUCCUCGUUAGGACUUUGAGAAUUAUUAAAAAGGCAGUGAUGAUUUUUUUUUUGCUAUUUCUGGGCAAACUAAUUCGGGCAGGGAGAUGACCCGACCCGUAUCUUGGCAUGGCAACCCGGUAUGGCGUGUGAUUGAGAUGUAUAUCUCUCACAUAUGCAAUUGGUGUUUUUGCAGCCAUGGCGUGGUUGGCUUCUCUUUUGCCUUAAUCAUAACACAAAUCUGAGCCUCAGUUUGCUAAAGAAAAUAGAAUUGUUGGCCAUAGAGAGGUGCCACCUCAUCUCUUUUGUGCCUGGCUUUAAUUAUAUAUAGAUCACCUGCGAAGACAGCAGUAUAGUGCAACUCUAGAUGGAAAGAAUGAGGCAAUGGAGAGGCAUCGGGGAGUCUGUAAUGGUGGUUGCCCCCUCUUUGUUCGCCGAUGAUUUCCUUUUCCAUUUUCAUAAUAAUAAACCACCAUUGUUGAAAAUGGUCAAAUACAUAGAUGGCCCCUUUAACUACUUCUGCUUCUUCACUUCCUCACUUUACCUACCUUUUAAUCACGGAUAUGAGGCUAUGAUGAGAAAUAGUGUUGUCUAGAGUUGGGUCGGGCAUUAGAGCUGACCGUAUCUUGGCGGGGCGACCUGGUAAGGCAUCUCCAUUAUUUUUCAACUGAGGUUCGCAGCCAUGGCGGUAGCUUUGUCUCCUUCUGCCUGAUUUUAUCACAGAUCUGAGCCUCAAAUUGUAAGUAAUUACUGGCAAAUUGGAAAUUCCGUUUGUUAGGUUAGCCCAGAAAUGGCGAGAAUGAGGCAGCAGAGAGAGUAAGGGAUUUCUUUCAAGGGUGGUUGCCCUUCUCUCUGCUUUGCCUAUGAUUGCCCCCCCCCCCCCCCCCCCCCCCCCCUUUUUUUUUUUUUACAAUCCAACAGCCCUCAAAAAAGAAAGAAAAAGAGAAAUAUAUAGUACUCCCUCCGGUUCAUAAAAAGUGUGCACUUACUCCGUUGUGGCUUUGAAAAUUAUUAAAGAGGCAGUGAUGAUGAUUUUUUUCUAUUUCUGGGCUAACGAAUUAGGGCAUGGAGAUGACUCGACCCGUGUCUUGGUGUGGCAACCCUGAAUGGCCACCCUGUACGGCCUGUGAUUGUGAUGCAUAUCUCUCACGGUGUUUUGCAGCCAUAGCGUGGUUGGCUUCUCUUUUGCCUUAUAAUGACACAGGUCUGAGCCUCAAGUUGCUUAAGAAAAUAGGCAAAAGGGUCAAAUUUAGCCCUCUACAGUGCAAAAAGGGACAAUAUCUUUUCCCGAAUUCAUGUGGGGGAUAUUGAACCCACACUCUUUUGACUACCAGUUAUAAUGCUUUUCACUCGUAAUGCUUAUCACAGAUCUGAGCCUCAACUUGUAAGUAAUUACUGGCGAAUUGGCAAUUCCCUUUAUCAGAGUAGCCCAGAAAUAGCGAGAAUGAGGCAACAGAGAGUGUGGGAUUUCUUUUAAGGGUGGUUGCCCUUCUCUCGUCUUUGCCUAUGAUUUUUCAACUUUUAAAUAACCAACAACCCUUAAAAAAGAAAGAGACAGCGAGAUAUAUAGUACUUCCAUUUCUGAGUUUUUUGCAAUCUCUGGGUUUUUUGCAUUUUUGCACCCUUAACGUAUGCUCAAAACACAAUACAAACAACUUACUACAACAACUACGCUACCUUCGGAUCUUAAAGAGGCAGUGAUGAUGAUUUGUUUUCUAUUUCUGGGCUAACUAAUUCGGGCAUGGAGAUGACCGGACCCGUAUCUUGGCGUGGCUACCCGGUAUGGCCUGUGAUUUAGAUGCUUCUCUCACACAUGCAAUCGGUGUUUUGCAGCCAUGCCGUGGUGGCUUCUCUUUUGCCUUAAUACAUCUGAGCCUCAAUUUGCUUAAGAAAAUAGGAAAAAGGGUCAGAUUAUAUGCAAAAAGGGGCAAUAUUUUUUCCAUGAUUCAUGUGGGAAAUAUCGAACCCAAGCCCUUUUGAUUACCAGUUAUAAUUAUCGCCUUUUUUUGAUAAGUAACAGCUCAAGAACGAGGGAUUAGAGUGAAAUGUGGGAUUUCUACUGAUCUAAUGGUUCCUUGUUCAUUUCUGCUGGGUUCUUGUUCUUUGUCGCCUUGGCUUCGAGAUUCUUCCUUAGAAGCUAUUGGGGAAUGCGGCUGAUGCUAAAGAAAUGUGAUGAUCAGGUGAAAGGGGUAGUAAUGAUACUUCCUAGUUCUCUCCAGUGUUUUAAAAGGCGUUUUUGAGGCGAACCCUGGGGCGGGGCAUAGUAAAAAUGCACCGGGGCGAUCUGUGGGGAGAAUGUAUCGUGAGGCGUAAGCCCCUUCUCUGGUAAACCCCUGAUUUUUUCUUAUUUACGUUAUGUGUUUAUGCUAGCUACCGUGUUCGUAUUUUCCUAGAAUUAUGAAUAUGUACUGAAGGAUAUUAUGUUUCUCAGUUUGAAAACCAAACAAAUGGACUCUAAUUUUCUGUCUUAAAUUCUUGCCAACCCUACAAGCUAAUAUAAGUUCCUUUUAAGCUUCCCAUGUGAUAAUAGCUGGACCAACUAUACUACAACAACUACGCGACCUUCGGAUCUAAGAGAGGCAGUGAUGAUGAUUUUUUUCUAUAUCUGGGCUAACUAAUUUGUGCAUGGAGAUGACCCGACCCGUAUCUUGGUGUGGCGACGGUAAAUCAUCUCCUUUGUUUUGCAGCCGAGGUUUGCAGCCAUGGCGGUUGCUUUGUCUCCUUUGCCCUGAUGUUAUUACAGAUCUGAGCCUCAAAUUGUAAGCAAUUCCUUAGUUUGAUUAGCCCAGAAAUGGUGAGAAUGAGGCAGCAGUGAGAGUAUGGGAUUUCUUUGAGGGGUGGUUGCCCUUCUCUCUGCUUUGCCUAUGAUUAUCCAUUUUUUUUUAACAAACCAACAGCCCUUAAAAAAGAAAGACAGAGAGAGAUAUAUAGUACUCCCUCCGGCUCCUAAUAAGUGUCCACUUACUCGGUUGUGGCUUUGAAAAUGAUUGAAGAGGCAGUGAUGAUUUCUGGGCUAACUAAUUCUGGCAUGGAGAUUACCCGAUCUGUAUCUUGGCAUGGCAACCCGAUAUGGCCUGUGAUUUUGAAACGCAUAUCUCAGACAUGCAAUUGGUGUUUUGCAGCCAUGACGUGGUUGGCUUCUUUUUUGCCUUAUCAUAACACAAAUCUGAGCUUCAAUAUGCUAAAGAAAAAAGGGUCAAUAUCUUUUCCAUGAUUAAUGUGGGAUAUAUCGAACCCACUCCCCUUUUGAUUACCAGUUAUAAUGCUUUUCACUCGUAAUGUGUCCCUUCUCUGUGUGAGUCCGAGUAACUUAGAUGCUAAGCUACCAUGUUCGUAUUUUCCUAGAAUUAUGAAUUAUGUGCUGAAGGAUAUUAUGUUUCUUAGUUUGAAAACAAAACUAAUGGACUCCAAAUUUCUGACUUAAUCCUGCCAACCCUACUCUAUGGUUCCCUCUAAUUUCCUUUUUUCCAUAGUUCCGUCAAAUCUAGCAGACGAGUUAAUAUUUGAUGGAGACUAAUAAAAGAAAAUAAAUAAAUAAAAGAGUUUAACUUUCGGCAAACUUAAAGGACCAAAACUGUUUAGUGCAUAUAUAAGGGAGUAUUUUGAACCUACCCUCAAACAUAAGGGAUCAUUUUUGUCUUUUUCUCCUGUAUAUAGAAACUCAUCUUCCAGUACUUUGGCUCUUUACAGAAAAAAAAAAAAGGAUACCACCUUAUUUUGGUUCUGAACUCGUGUUCUGCAACUCUAGAUGGAAAGAAAUGAGGCAACAGAGAGGCGUUGGAGAGUCUGUAAUGGUGGUUGCCCCUCUCAGUUCUUUUGCCGAUGAUUUCCUUUUCCAUUUUCACAAAAAAAAAAAAAAAAAAAAAGAAAAAGAAAAAAAGAAAAGGUUACAAUAAACCACCAUUGUUGAAAAUAGUCAAAUGCAUACAUAGAUUGCCCCUUAAACUUGCUUCUACUUCUUCACUUCUUGUUGACCUCUUCCUCUUCAUUAUGUCUAGCUUUUUAAUCAUGCAUAUAAGGCUGUGAUGACAAAUGGUGUCUAGACUUCGGUCGGGCACUGGAGCUGCCCGUAUCUUGGUGGGGCUACUCAGAAGGCAUCUCCGUAUUUUGCAACCGAGGUCUGCAGCCAUGGAGAUUGCUUUAUCUCCUUUGCCUGAUUUUAUCACAGAUACGAGCCUCAAAUUGUUAGUGGAAAUGGGAAAGUGUUCCAUUAUGAUGCAUGAGGCUGUGAUGAUGCUUAUAAAUCUUUCUGUUUCUAGGAUGAUCAUUCAAUAUUGAGAUGCCCUGUGACCCGUAUCUUGGCUUGGCACAACCCGGUAUGGCCUGUUGACUGGAAACUCCCCUCUCUAGUGCAACCGGUGUUUUGCAGCCACGGUGUAGCUGGUUUCUCUUUUGCCUUAUCAUUAUAAGCAUCCGAGCCUCAAUUUGCUGAAGAACAUAAGUAGGCGUUUGGACAAUAUUUAAGUUGAAGCUGAGAAAUUCUCUUAAUUACAAACUUGUGAGGUCUCUUCAGUUAAAAGCUGUCAUCUACGAAUUCCAUUUAUUAGUUUGGCCCAGAAAUGGCGAGAAUGAGGCAGCAGAGAGAAUAUGGGAUUUCUUUGAAGGGUGGUUGCCCCUCUCUCUGCUUUGCCUAUGAUUUUCCAUUCUUUAACAAACCAACAGCCCUUAAAAAAAGAAAGGGACAGACUGGACAUAUUUCUGUUUCUGUUUUUUUUUUUUUUUUUUCACCUGCAUAACUCUAACCAGCUACCAAACGACCCCUUAAUGUAUACUCAAAACCCCAGUACACACAACUAUACUAAAAGUCUAAAACUACGCGACCUUCAGAUCUUCAAAUCUGUCUCUGUCAUGGCUUUGAAAAUUAUUAAAGAGGCAGUGAUGAUGAUCUUUCUCUAUUUCUGGGCUAACUAAUUCAGGCAUGGAGACUACCCGACCCGUAUCUUGUCGCGGCAACCGGUAUGGCCUGUGGUUGAAACACAUAUCUUACACAUGCAAUCCUGUGUUGCAGCCAUGGCGUGUUUGGCUUCUGUUUUGCCUUAUCAUAACACAAUCUGAGCCUCAAUUUGCUAAACAAAAUUGGGAAAAAGGUCAAAUUUUUCCUUCUACUUUGGAAAAAAGGGCAAUAUUUUUUCCAUAAUUCAUGUUGGAGAUAUCGAGCCUGCGCCCUUUUUGACUACCAGUUAUAAUACUUUUCACUCAUAAUGUAUCACCAUUUUUUGAUAAGAACAGCUCAAGAAUGGGGGAUUUGAGUGAAAUGUGGGAUUUCUAAGAAACUGGAAUCCUAAACUCAAGAACAAGAAUGAGGCUGCAGCACAGGGAUGAAAAGUUUUUAAGGGUGUUGCCUCCAUCUGCAUGCCUGUGAUAUGUCUGUGUUCUGCUACUGUCAAAGCAGCAGCCCUUCUUUCAUGCUUAGCUGGCGCUCUAAUGGUUAUUCACAAUCUGCUCUAAAGGGGCUAUGAUCAUGCUUAUAGAUCUUUCUAUUUCUGGUAUGAUCAUUGAGCAUUGAGAUGACCUGACUCGUAUCUUGGCAUGGCAACCGGUGUUUUGCGGCCAUGGCGUGGCUGGCUUCUCUUUUGCCUCAUCAUUAUACGCAUCUGAGACUCAAUUUGCUGAAGAACAUAAAUAGGCGUUUGGACAUUAUUUAAGUUGAAGCUGAGAAAUUCUUAAAUGCAGACUUGUGAGGUCUCUUCUGUUAAAAGCUCUCAUACAAGCAAAUUUCCUUUAUUAGGUUAUCCCAGAAAUUGCUAGAAUGAGGCUGCAGAGAGUAUGGGAUUUCUUUCAGGGGUGGUUGCCCCUGUCUGCUUUGCCUAUGAUUCUCCCGUUCUCAACAAACCAACAGCCCUUGAGAGAAAGAAAGAUCAACAUAGUACUUCAGUUUCUGGUUUUCUGGAUUACAAUUCAUUAAAUUUUCCCAAUAUACUAGUAUACCACAACUACUACGUCGCCUUCAUAUCUUCAGUCCGUCUCCUCUUGGCCCUUUGCGCGUAUCUUCCCGUUUAUGCUCAUUGUUAGUGGAAACUGAAAAGUGUUCCAUUAUGAUGCAUUCUGCUAUAGAAAGGGGCUAUGAUGCUUAUAUCUUUCUAGUUCUCUGCCGAUCGUGGAGCAUUGAGAUGAACCGACCAGUAUAUUGGCGUGGCAACUGGUAUGGCCUGUGAUUGAAAACUCCUCUCCGUCUCAUGCAAUCGGUGUUUGCAGCCAUGGGGAGGCUAGCUUCUCUUUUGCCAUAUCAUUACAUGCAUCUGAGCCUCAAUUUGCUGAAGAACAUAAGUAGGCGUUUGGACAAUAUUUCAGUUACACCAACGACAAUACCCAGUGUAAUCCCACAAGUGGGGUGUGGAAACGCGGUGAAGGUGGAUCGAACACGUGACCUUCAGAUCUUCAUUGUGACGCUCUCCCAACUGAGCUAUCCCUGCUUGUUAACAAUAUUCAGUUGAAGUUGCAGAAUUCUCUUACGUGCAGACUUGUGAGGUCUCUUCGUUUAAAAGCUCUCAUCAUGCGAAUUUGCUAUUUAGCAGAAAUGGCAAGAAUGAGACAGCAGAGAGUAUGGGAUUUCUUUCAAGGGUGGUUGCCCCUCUCUGCUUUACCUAUGAUUCUGCCUUUUUUUUUUUUUGUUUUUUUUGAAACUGGUAACUGUUAUGAUUCUGCCCAUUUUAAUAAAAUAAUAGUCCUUAAAACAGAAAUAGAAAGAGGUAUAACACUUCAGUUUCUGUGUUUCUUUGCAUUUUGCACCCCUAAUACAUAAAACCAGAACACAAAACUAUACCACAACAACCAGAGACCUUCAGACCUUCAACCUUCAACCUUCAGAUCUUCAAUCUAUCUCCUUUAUGGCUUUGGAACAUCUUAAAGAGGCAGUGAUGAUAACUUUUUCUAUAUCUGGGCUAACCAAUUCGGGCAUGGAGACGAUCCGAUCUGUAUCUUGCUGUGGCAACCCAGUAUGACUGUGAUUGCCAAAAGAAGACUCCUCUCACACACACGCAACCGGUGUUUUGCAGCCAUGGCGUGGGUGGCUUCUCUUUUGCCUUAUCAUAGCACAUGUCUGAGCCUCAAUUUGCUAAAGAAAGUAUUAUCUUUUCGAGGCUUGGAUAUGGAAUGUAUCAAACCCACACCUUUUUAAUACAAGUUAUAUUGCUUUUCCCUCGUGAUGUACCGCCAAUCUUUUAUCCGUAACAAGAUCAAAAUGCUUAACAUUUAUGUAGUGCGUCCAAGUGACCACCUAUGCACAACUGGCAACUAACACUAAUAAUGUUCCCUAGGUCAGGCUAUGAAAGAUUCAAGAAAAACAAGGACCAAAAAGGCACAAAGAUAGGGCGGGAAUUCUGGGAGUACACAUUGCUGCUUCGACAUUCCUAUAGGCAUUAGAUUUUUUUUAACAACAGUAAAGUGGGGUCAUACUGAUCAUCACAGCGAGGUUUCGUCUUCGAACAUGGGAUAUAUUUGUUACUCUUUACACCUCGACCACUAUAUCACCCCCUUGCAACAAAUUGCAUUAGUUCUUACAUCACAACAAUAAUGAAGCAUUAGAGUAACAUGUGAGAUUUUGUAAUGGUGGUUGCCUUCCUUCUCCGGCUAACUAAUUCGGGCACACGGAGAUUACCGGACCGUAUCUUGGCAUGGCAACCCGGUAUGGCCCAUGACUUAGAAGCCUCUCUCACACAUGCAAUCGGAGUUUGCAGCCAUGGCAAUGUUGGCUUCUCUUUUGCCUUAUCAUAACACAAAUCUAAGCCUCAAUUUGGUAAAGAAAAUCCCUAAAAGGGUCAUAUUUAUCUUCUACAAUGCAAAAAAGGGCAAUAUCUUUUCCAUGAUUCAUGUGGAAGAUAUCGAACCCACACCCUUUUGUUUACCAGUUGUAAUGCUUUUCACUCGUAAUGUAUCGCUAUUUUUUGAUAAGUAAUAGCUCAAGAAUGAGGCCUUGGAGUGAAAUGUGGGAUUCCUAAAGGGUGGUUUCCUCCCUUCUCUGGUAAGCCCCUCAUUUUUUCGAGUUUUUUGCUUUUUGUGCUAGCUACUCACACGGUAUUUUCACUAUAGCUUUUACUCCUGUAUUUGUCAAAUCAGUUUUUUUAAAAUGCUUUUCUUGAACGGGGGUCUAUUGAAAACAACCUCUCUACAUCAGAUGAUGAAGAAAAUGUCCCUGAUAGUGAUUAUGAACCAGAUAACUCUUAGCAGGAAGAGGAAGAGGAUAUUUAAAGCGAUACUCUGGAAGAUGAUGAAUAUGAGAGCAUGGAAGAAGAUCCACUCAGUGAUGAUGCUGCGGACAAAUUGGUAGAAGCCUUUAAUGGACCUCAGAUCAUGGAUCCAAACAUAUCUCAGGCCUUUGGAGAAAUAACUGAUAGAACAAGUCUCUCCCUAAGAGGAUCCUUUUCAACUAGAGGAAGAGGAAGCUAUAGGGGCAGAGGAGGAAGAACAAUACCACUGCUAAUUGUCAGCAGUAAAAAAAAACAAUUCAAGUUUGAGUUCCAUGAUUAAGUAUUUGUGCUAGAAUAUUAGGGGCAUAAAAAGCUCCUUAGAAAGACCGAAAAAACUCGGUAAAACAUCACAAUAUCAAAAUUCUCUUUAUUCAAGAACCUAUGUGCAAAAGGAGCAAGCUGGAUAAAUUUAGGAGAUGGUUGGGAUUUCACUAUGCUUAUUCCAAUAACAAUAACAAAAUUUUGGAUUUUGCCUGAUGAAGAAUCUGAAUGUUCAGUAUUUAUGGAUGGAGAACAACAAUUGUCUUGUUCCAUAAAAAGUGAUAAUGAAAACAUUAUCAUGACAUCUGUCUAUGCUAAAUGCAAGAUAAAUUUGAGGGAGCCUUUAUGGGAUGAGUUGAGACAGCUCUCAUCAAUGCAUACUAAACCUUGGACUGUGGUAGGUGAUUUCAACUGUAUUACUGAUCCCAGUGAAAAAAGAGGUGGUUAAUCCACAUAGAAUGGAGAAAAGUUUCCCUUUGAUUGAGUGUGUUAAUGACUGUGAGUUGAAUGACCCGGGAUUCACUAGUUCUAUAUAUACAUGGUGUAAUCAUAGAGCACCAACAUACAGAAUAUGGAAGAGGCUUGAUAGGGCUAUGGGUAAUCAAACUGGUUGACAAGCUUUCCAGACAAUAUAGUCACACAUUUAGUCAGAACAGGUUCUGACCAUGCAACACUCCUUAUUGAAGCAAAAGGAACUAACACUCAUCCUCCAAAAUACUUCAAGUUUUUAAAUCUCUGGGUUGACCAACCUGAUUUUAAAGACAUUGUCUAACAAGCUUGGGAUGAGCAGGUGGAAGGAUCUCCUAUGUGGAAAUUUCACUUGAAGUUGAAAGUUACUUGUAAAAGACUAUCUUGGUGGUCUAAGAAUACUUUGGGGUAUAUAUUUGAAGCUACAAGAGAUAAAGAAAGACAAGUUUCUGAAUUAGAAACGAUAUGUCUUCAAGAUAACACUAUGGAGAAUAUGACCAAAUACAAUGAGGCUAAUGCCAAGCUCAUCAGACAUUAGGCAUCAAGUGGCAUGCUGAGGGUGAUUUGAAUACCAAAUUCUUUCAUUCGGUAAUUGCAUCCAGAAGAUAGAGACUGAAGCUGAAUAAAAUUAAGAACAACCCGAGGUACU